GGAACCCACCGAACCAGACUCGUCUCUCUCUCCCCCACGACUCCGCGCCGCCGCCGCCACGAACGCCGGCCAUUUCCGGCGAGACCCGGCGGCUCCCCUGCCCCCGCGCCUUCCACCCAUCCGGCGCUCGCGGCCUCCAGUCUCACCCGCGGCUAGGGUUUCGCCCCCUGUCCGUUUUUCUGGAGGUCGGGCAUGGCGCGGGCGGGCCAAGCGCCCGCGACGAGGGCGCCGUAUCCGGGGGCAGGGCUCCCUUCUCCUCACGCUGCAGCCGCUGGCCUCCUCCUAAUCGAGGAGGAGGAGCAGGAGCAGGUGGGGCGCACCUAGCCCCCAAGGUCGCCGCCGUCGAGGGCUUCUACGACCUGGAUCCCGACCUCCACGGCGCCGUCGCUCCAGCAACUCGAGGUCAAGGAGAAGUCCACUCACGCGAUGUGCCCGUCCAUGGAGAGGAGCAGCAGCAGCUCAAGAUAUGCACGGAGAAGAAGACCAUCCUCUCCGCUGACGACACCUGUGGUGGUAAAAAUUCAGAGACCAACACCUGUAGCAGCAGGUCUCAAGAUGGAGUAGGAGGACGAGCAGCAGCAGCAACAGCAGCACAUGAGCCUGAUGAUGGAGCAUGAUAACCGUAGAUUUAAUUUCGGUUAUCGUGCUGGAUAUGACUGAACUCGUUGUGCUCAUGUUGGAUAUGACUGUGAACUUGUCACGCUCGUGUUGGAUAUGACUGAUCUUGUUGUGCUUGUGUUGGAUGUGACUAUGAACUUCGUUUGGACUAUGCAAUGGAUUUGAUGUUAUAUAUGUGGAUUCUCAUUCAAGUUCA